CCUACGCAACUUAUAUCGGAGGUUAGUAUGGUGAAAUUUGCAGUUUUUAAAUUUGAAGUCGCAUCUUUUUCAUUUACGCAACUAAUGGAGUUGAUCAACGUCUGCUAUCUAAUCUUCUCAUACAGUGAUGAGAUAACCGGAGCGACGUGUUGAAGCUGGUUAGUUUCGUGUUGGUCAUAUUCAUUUAAGUGUGGUCAUUUCCUGCCAGUAAAGUAUGUAGAGAAGAAGAGUUCGAUGAAGACGUAGAAGGGAGGAACGAGAGUCGAGAUAAGGAAGAGAAUGUUGUGGUAGUAGAGUGGUCGGUUGGUGACGAUGACGGUGAGUGGUAGCGGAGGAAUUGAACCAGACGAGUUUGGGCGAUGGUGAGUGGCAACCGAUAACGAUGGCAGUUUUGGAGUCUUGAAUUGAAACGUUGAGCAGCGAUUUAGGGAUCGGUGUCGGCUACGUGCUCUGUUGUUUCUGCAGUUAGAUUGUUUUGUUCUUUUUCCUAAUCUUUAAUGGUAGAUUGGACCAUGCUUAGUGAA